rnacentral:rRNA from 1 species
UAUAACGAGCAUAAGCUUAAAACCCAAAGGACUUGACGGUGUCCCAUCCAUCUAGAGGAGCCUGUUCUAUAAUCGAUAUUCCCCGCUAUACCUCACCAUUUCUAGCCUUCCAGCCUGUAUACCUCCGUCGCAAGCUUACCAUGUGAACGUUACUAGUAAGCUCAAUGAUCCACAUCAAUACGUCAGGUCAAGGUGCAGCUCACGCAAUGGAAAGCAAUGGGCUACAAUUUCUAACAUAGAACCUACGAAAAACUGUAUGAAAUAUAGUUAUGAAGGCGGAUUUAGUAGUAAAAAGAAAACAGUAUGUUCUUUUUAACCCGGCACUGGGACGCGU